GAGAGAGAGAGAGAGAGACUGAGCUGAAGCAGUUUGCCCUGAGUGGUUCUUCUGCAUAUCCCAAGGACUCACUCACCACCUUCCCUCUGUGUCCUCCAUGCUUCUAGGGACCCAGACAGCUCUUACCUGAUGGGAAGGGAAAGAAACCAUGGAUCCAGCAAUGACCCACAUGAUUUUCAACUACGAGGCAGCUUAGAUGCAUCUGUGUAUAGAUCUGAAGACAAACUGAAGCCCUGUAGUGUCCCUGCUGAGGCUGCCCCAGGGGAAAGAGGAGCCCAUCCAUUAACACUUGAGCAACGGGACAGCCAACCUUGGGUCUUCAAAACAGGCUUAUAUGUUGCGGAGAGCGACGACGAGGGCCGCCAAAGUCAGUGCCACCGUUAGACCACGCCAUCUUCAGAACGAUUUCCCAGGCUUUGAAACAACUACAGAUGGAUUGCUGAGGUGUCUCAGAGGGAAGGGAGUUGGAAUGGCACUAGCUAGGAAGCUGUAUGUUGAUAUGAUAAAAGGAAUUUCCUGGGAAUCCCGAUCUCCCCAAUAUUUUUAGCAGUGUGGUCGAGUUCCUCCCAUGAUUGUCGAGCACACCAUGAAUUUUAGCAAACCUUCGUAUUAAUAAAUCAAUUGUACACG
rnacentral:lncRNA from 1 species